CACUGCAGUCGAGCGGAUGUAAAGGAAGCUUGCUCCUGGAUUCAGCGGCGGACGGGUGAGUAAUGCCUAGGAAUCUGCCUGGUAGUGGGGGACAACGUUUCGAAAGGAACGCUAAUACCGCAUACGUCCUACGGGAGAAAGCAGGGGACCUUCGGGCCUUGCGCUAUCAGAUGAGCCUAGGUCGGAUUAGCUAGUUGGUGAGGUAAUGGCUCACCAAGGCGACGAUCCGUAACUGGUCUGAGAGGAUGAUCAGUCACACUGGAACUGAGACACGGUCCAGACUCCUACGGGAGGCAGCAGUGGGGAAUAUUGGACAAUGGGCGAAAGCCUGAUCCAGCCAUGCCGCGUGUGUGAAGAAGGUCUUCGGAUUGUAAAGCACUUUAAGUUGGGAGGAAGGGUUGUAGAUUAAUACUCUGCAAUUUUGACGUUACCGACAGAAUAAGCACCGGCUAACUCUGUGCCAGCAGCCGCGGUAAUACAGAGGGUGCAAGCGUUAAUCGGAAUUACUGGGCGUAAAGCGCGCGUAGGUGGUUCGUUAAGUUGGAUGUGAAAUCCCCGGGCUCAACCUGGGAACUGCAUCCAAAACUGGCGAGCUAGAGUAUGGUAGAGGGUGGUGGAAUUUCCUGUGUAGCGGUGAAAUGCGUAGAUAUAGGAAGGAACACCAGUGGCGAAGGCGACCACCUGGACUGAUACUGACACUGAGGUGCGAAAGCGUGGGGAGCAAACAGGAUUAGAUACCCCUGGUAGUCCACGCCGUAAACUA
rnacentral:rRNA from 1 species